CCAGGGGAAAAGCCGGAAGUCAGGUGAGUAGCAGGUGGCAGACCUGGGCUACCUGAGACACGGGUUUUUGUGGGAGACCAAGGACGUGCUUACGGGACCAACCAAAGUGGUCCCAAAGAGGUGGGAAAAGGCAGCUUUGAAAUCCUUCUCCAGAAUUUCACUAUCAAAAAUUCCAGAAAGAAAGUGCAAAGUGUCAGUGCACACACACACACAUUUAGGGACUUCCCUUGGCUCUUUCCAUCUUGGGAAACAGCUAAACCUACAUGCAGGUCCUUUUAAGGCUUGUUCUCUUUUAUGUUGAAUUUGAUAUGGAGGGGGGUGGUUGUGACAUUGUCCAGGCUUAGACUCUGUCGACCUUCCCCUGCCCUGAGAGAGGCUGGUUUCCAACUUCCUGCAGGGGCUGCAGAUCCAGUGGCCCACGACAGAGGCCUGCGGUGGAGGUAACUGCUCCCCAAAGACCCCCAGCCUCCCCACGCCAGCAGCUCCCUCUCUCCCCUGACACUCCUCUCUCCUUCCAGCUGCUGUCCAGCUGCUGGCCCGCCGGAAGAAAGCCUCUACGCUGACGUGAGAGACAAGCCUCCUGAGGAGGAUGUGGAGCUGCACAGCCAGGUGAGCUUCCCGCUGCCCAAGAGCCGGCGGCUCGCCUCCGCCCUCCCGCUGCCCGGCUCGCGGCGCUGCCCGCAGCUGCCCGCUCCUUCUGGAGAGCCCUGCGCCUCGCUGCUGGGACCCCGCUGUCUCCUGGCUGUCUCGCCCUAGAUCCUCUCCUCUCUUUGACAGAAGGUCCAGGUCUCAAGGGAAUACGUGAGCAAGCCGUCCCCUAGGCCCCCUCACUCAUUCAGCAGGAUGUAGGGGGAGCCCGCUCUUUACCAGGCUGCGGAAAAGGCAGGCAGCAGGGCUCUCUCACGUCCAGGGGGCGAGGGGCGAUAUGCAAGCAAAUUCAGCGUCCAGGAGGGUAAAGAGCCAUGAGGGAAAGGGAAGCCAGGUGGUGGGGCAGCGAGGCUCCAAC
rnacentral:lncRNA from 1 species